rnacentral:rRNA from 1 species
GUACCUACGGGGGGCAGCAGUAGGAAAUCUUCGGCAAUGGGGGCAACCCUGACCGAGCAACGCCGCGUGAGUGAAGAAGGUUUUCGGAUCGUAAAGCUCUGUUGUAAGAGAAGAACGUGUGUGAGAGUGGAAAGUUCACACAGUGACGGUAACUUACCAGAAAGGGACGGCUAACUACGUGCCAGCAGCCGCGGUAAUACGUAGGUCCCGAGCGUUAUCCGGAUUUAUUGGGCGUAAAGCGAGCGCAGGCGGUUGGAUAAGUCUUAAGGUAAAGGCGGGGGCUUAAACAUAGGAUGCUUUGGAAA